rnacentral:rRNA from 1 species
AUUGAACGCUGGCGGCAGGCCUAACACAUGCAAGUCGAACGAGUGGCGGACGGGUGAGUAAUGUCUGGGAAACUGCCCGAUGGAGGGGGAUAACUACUGGAAACGGUAGCUAAUACCGCAUACCAUCGGAUGUGCCAAGAUGGGCUUAGCUAGUAGGUGGGGAAACGGCUCACCUAGGCGACGAGCCCGAGCUGGUCUGAGAGGAUUACCAGCAACACUGGAACUGAGAAACGGUCCAGACUCCUACGGGAGGAAGCAGUGGGGACUAUUGCACAAUGGGCGAAAGCCUGAUGCAGCCAUGCCGCGUGUAUGAAGAAGGCCUUCGGGUUGUAAAGUACUUUCAGCGAGGAGGCGGUACUCGCAGAAGAAGCACCGGCUAACUCCGUGCCAGCAGCCGCGGUAAUAC